AGCGAGCGCUGGCGGCAGGCCUAACACAUGCAAGUCGAACGGGCUCUUCGGAGCUAGUGGCGGACGGGUGAGUAACACGUGGGAACGUGCCUUUAGGUUCGGAAUAAGCCCGGGAAACUGGGUCUAAUACCGAAUGUGCCCUUCGGGGGAAAGAUUUAUCGCCUUUAGAGCGGCCCGCGUCUGAUUAGCUAGUUGGUGAGGUAAUGGCUCACCAAGGCGACGAUCAGUAGCUGGUCUGAGAGGAUGACCAGCCACAUUGGGACUGAGACACGGCCCAAACUCCUACGGGAGGCAGCAGUGGGGAAUCUUGCGCAAUGGGCGAAAGCCUGACGCAGCCAUGCCGCGUGGAUGAUGAAGGUCUUAGGAUUGUAAAAUCCUUUCACCGGUGAAGAUAAUGACUGUAGCCGGAGAAGAAGCCCCGGCUAACUUCGUGCCAGCAGCCGCCGUAAGAC
rnacentral:rRNA from 1 species